GAGUCGGACCUGCCCAGUGAACAAGUUUUCAACGGCCGCGGUACUCUGACCGUGCAAAGGUAGCAUAAUCAUUUGCCCUAUAAUUGAGGGCUAGUAUGAAUGGUUUGACGUAAAUAAAGCUGUCUCCACAAAAUUUUUUAGAAUUUGAUUUUUAGGUGAAGAAACCUAAAUAACAUUAAAGGACAAGAAGACCCUAUCGAGCUUGAAAAAAGUAAGUGGAAUUACUUUUAUAAUAUUAAAAAUUUAUCCACUUAAUAUUUUGGUUGGGGCGACUAAGGAACAAAUAAAGCUUCUUAAUAAAUUUAAAAUUUGCAAAUAUUGAUCCAAGAAUCUUGAUUAAAGAAAUUAGUUACCGUAGGGAUAACAGCAUUAUUCUCUUUGAGAGUUCCAAUCGAAAAGAGAGUUUGUGACCUCGAUGUUGGACUAGAGUGUCCUAAAGAUGCAGCAGUCUUUAAGGGUUNGUC
rnacentral:rRNA from 1 species